AGAGUUUGAUCAUGGCUCAGAAUCAACGCUGGCGGCGCGCCUAACACAUGCAAGUCGCACGAGAAAGCCGCAAGGUGAGUAAAGUGGCGCACGGGUGAGUAACACGUGGGUAAUCUGCCCUUUAGUGGGGAAUAACCCUGGGAAACCGGGGCUAAUACCGCAUAAUCCCGAGAGGGGAAAGGAGCAAUCCGCUGAAGGAGGAGCCCGCGGCCGAUUAGCUAGUUGGUGAGGUAAAGGCUCACCAAGGCUGAGAUCGGUAGCCGGCCUGAGAGGGCACACGGCCACACUGGCACUGAAACACGGGCCAGACUCCUACGGGAGGCAGCAGUGGGGAAUCUUGCACAAUGGGGGAAACCCUGAUGCAGCGACGCCGCGUGAGCGAUGAAGCCCCUCGGGGUGUAAAGCUCUUUCGGCAGGGAAGAUAGUGACGGUACCUGCAGAAGCAGCUGCGGCUAACUACGUGCCAGCCGCCGCGGUAAUAC
rnacentral:rRNA from 1 species